GUGAAUACUAAAUUAAAAUAAAAUUUAAAUGACCUUCUAUUAAACGAAAAUAAAAUACAAAAUUGUUCAAACCACCUAAUCUUUCUUUUAUGUAAAACCACUUACUCCCCUUCAAGAUACAACCCAUCGCCGAUCGAGCUACCACGGCCACCGUGUUUCCUUCGGCUGGUUAUUGCCGCCGGCGUCCACACUCCACCACCGGUUGUUAUUGUUGUUGUUGCUUCGCUAGGCACGCUCGCGGUUCUGUUUUGUAGAUAUCUUAGAGAUAAAAGAUGCCACAUAGAACAAGGCCCAUGACAGCUCUUUUGCUGUUUACUGGACUCAACGUCAUCUUGGUGUCAACUAUUACUCCAGUCUAUGAUUUUGUGUGCUUCCAUCCUUACUGGGAAAGAAGGGUAUGCUAUCUUUUGUUUUCUCUUCUUUAUACCAGGUCUAGCAAAAAGAAUUGUUCUCCACCACACAUUAGAAUGUUAUUUGUGUUACUCCUUCCAUCCCAUUUCAAAUUUUUUUAAGGUUUUUGCAGAAAUGAUUGGAUAACCUCAUUUUAUGAAAAAAAAAAAUACUAAUAAUUGACUAAAAUACCCUUAUAUUUAAUUAAAAAUAGAGAAAUGCGAUAAAGAAGAGAUAAAUGCAUUGGAGAUAAUAAUAGACAAGGAUAAAGUUAGAAAAAAAAUAAUUAAUGCUUCCUUAAUUUUCUAAAAUGGCAGAUAAAGUGGGACAAAAAAAUUUCUAAAGUAACACUUGAAAUGGGCCGGAGAGAGUACAUUAUUAAUUUUAAAAUCAAUUUAAAAUGAAGGCAUGCGAGGUGAAUGAUUAAUAACUAUAUGAUUUAAUAAAAAAAAUGCUGAUUAUGCAUCAGUACAUAUGAUUCAACAUUGGCAUUUUAUGCAUAAACAAGAGAUUGAUUGUCCUUCAGUAACAACAUCUGUGAAAUGUUUUCAGAAUGACAACUUUGUGUAAUUCAUAUUUUCCUGGCUGCUAGUAUAGUGGAAGUAGGCACAUCACACAUCUUUGGCUACGUAAUCAUAGCCAGUAUGUUUAAUUUAAUUAUUUAUCUAGUUAAAGUAUUAAGUUGAUGAAAUAACCGCAUAGUUAAAUGUUUUAGUUUUUGUGCUUUCUGUCAACAUUAUUUUUGUUGAUGUUGUAUCUCUUGGAGCUGCCAUUGUCAUUGGAUAGAAAUGAGUAAGAUGACUCAUGAGUGAGAUAGAUAUCCCCUGAAGGUGAAAAUUCUCAUUUUACCGAGUAUACAACUUUAUAAUCAGUGAGAAAUAUAUUUCUAGUUGGUUUUCUUGGAAAGUAAGUUAUGUGACCAGGGUUCGGAUUAUGUAAUUUUUAAUUCUCUGGCCAGGUGAAAGGUUUCAAGAUGGCCUGGGUGGAAUGGAAGGGGAAGAAUUGUGGAAAAGUCGGGUGUAAAUUAAAGUUGCUCACAAAGAAGCAUCACCUAUCAAGCCAUUGCCAGUAUUAGAAAGAAAGGGAAAGAAAAGGAGCAUUGUAUAGACAAGGGAGAAUGCAGUAUUGCUCUUAUAAAACAAGAACACACUUGCACUUGGGAAAUAAAAUUGUAGUGAUAUUUUUGUGCUUUCAUGGAUUGUGCUACAUUCUGCUAAUUGAUAGUACAUACAUCACACAGCCAUUUGAUUCCAAUACACAACUUUUUCCUCUUGGAUAUAUAUAUUUGCAAUGAAAUAGAUGCAUUUUACUUUUUAUUAUGCAGUGAGUAGAUCAUUGCAUGAACCAUUUAUUAUGCCAGUAACAUGCAAAGUUGAUCACGAACAAGAAAAGAGCUAGAUCUUGUUUAUUUGUUGUCUUGGAUUUGUUUCAGAGAGAACACCGCCAGCAGGAAGGUGAAGCUGCUUUAACAAAGGCUUCUGCAUGAACCCAGAAAGGCCUUUGAUGUCGCAGAUGAGUGGUCUUUAAUCAAUGUGGAACCAUUUAUGAUAAUGCGGUUCUCUUACUCUCCUUUUUUGUUGGGCAUAGGAGAAGAUAAGAAGACUUGUGCGACAUCUAUAUAUGAACCCUCUGAAGGAGCGAAAGCAUGAAAAUUAUUAGAUUAGAACAUUGAAUUCAAAAAUUUUCUUCUAGGGUCUCAUGCAUCAUGCAAGAUUCAUUAUUUAUCUAUUUGAUUUCAAUGUUAAAUAACAUAUUAAAACACUUUUAAUAUGUUUUUGGAUCUACAUUUGCCAUUUAAGAUUUUUGAAUUAACAAAUUAAUUCAUUUGAACCCUAGAUUGAUACAAGAAUAUGUGCACUAAUCUUUUGAUGCACUGUAGAUGUAAUUGGUACCUUUGUGAAGCAUCUAGGACCCCAAGAGUUGUCCCUCUAGCUUGUCCACACUAAGAUCACCAAUGGGCAGCUCCCAAUUUGCUUCUCAAGCCUUUGUCAACCAAUUAUAAAUUGGGUUCUUACCUUUAGAGAGGUUAUAGAUGUGUAUAGAAUACUAGAAACAAUUUCUAGUAAUUU
rnacentral:misc_RNA from 1 species